ensembl:lncRNA
GCAUCCUCUGAGCUUGAGGACUCUACCCAUGCGGCUCAGAGACUACAGGAAUACUUGAAGAUGAGAAAACAUCAGGGGGAAACUGACUGGGUGGAUGUGAAGUGGAAAGGAGGAGUGAUGCCCCACCCAGUGCAAAGGGAUGGUUGCAGCUGUGGUGUCAUUGUUGUUGAAUCUUUGAUGAGGAGACUUGUUCGAUGUGUGGAGCUGACAAGCCCCCUGGACAAGCACCUCCCGUUACAGACUGGGUGAGUUGUUGUGAGCAGCACUUACAUUUUGUAACGUAAUGUGACAUACAGUGUUGGUAGUAACUAGUAACAAAGUUAAUUAAAUUUUGAUAGCAAUAUGUAAAAAGGCCAAGAAAGUUGAAGGGGUUCAAUGUU